UGGGGAAUUUUGGACAAUGGGCGCAAGCCUGAUCCAGCCAUGCCGCGUGCGGGAAGAAGGCCUUCGUGUUGUAAACCGCUUUUGUCAGGGAAGGAAUCUUCUGAGUUAAUACCUCGGGAGGAUGACGGUACCUGAAGAAUAAGCACCGGCUAACUACGUGCCAGCAGCCGCGGUAAUACGUAGGGUGCAAGCGUUAAUCGGAAUUACUGGGCGUAAAGCGUGCGCAGGCGGUUUUGUAAGACAGAGGUGAAAUCCCCGGGCUCAACCUGGGAACUGCCUUUGUGACUGCAAGGCUUGAGUGCGGCAGAGGGGGGAUGGAAUUCCGCGUGUAGCAGUGAAAUGCGUAGAUAUGCGGAGGAACACCGAUGGCGAAGGCAAUCCCCUGGGCCUGCACUGACGCUCAUGCACGAAAGCGUGGGGAGCAAACAGGAUUAGAUACCCUGGUAGUCCACGCCCUAAAACGAUGUCAACUGGUUGUUGGGAAGGUUCCUUCUCAGUAACGUAGCUAACGCNUGAAGUUGACCGCCU
rnacentral:rRNA from 1 species